AACGAACGCUGGCGGCAGGCCUAACACAUGCAAGUCGAACGCUGCAGCAAUGCAGAGUGGCAGACGGGUGAGUAACGCGUGGGAACCUUCCCAAUGGUACGGAAUAGCCCAGGGAAACUUGGGGUAAUACCGUAUAAGCCCCAUGGGGGAAAGAUUUAUCGCCAUUGGAUGGGCCUGCGUCGGAUUAGCUAGUUGGUGAGGUAACGGCUCACCAAGGCGACGAUCCGUAGCUGGUUUGAGAGAAUGACCAGCCACACUGGGACUGAGACACGGCCCAGACGCCUACGGGAGGAGGCAGUGGGGAAUCUUGGACAAUGGGCGAAAGCCUGAUCCAGCCAUGCCGCGUGAGUGACGAAGGCCUUAGGGUUGUAAAGCUCUUUUGGCGGGGACGAUAAUGACGGUACCCGCAGAAUAAGUCCCGGCUAACUUCGUGCCAGCCGCCGCCGUAA
rnacentral:rRNA from 1 species